UUCACUACCUGCAGCCUGCUUUUCACUGGUCUUCACAUGAGGAGAGACAGAUAAUGGCUGCUAGAGGUGAUGACGCCGGUGCUGGAGUAGACAGCUAGCUGAUGUACAUGGACUUCUAUACAUGGCUGCCUGCCACAGACGUCUACAGUCAUUUUGCAUCCAAUUUAACCACCCUCAGUAACUCUUACUGUCUGGCUGUAAAAAGUCACCUGGCCCAAGUUCCAGCCGUCUUCACCAAUGUAAUCAUCAUUUCCAUAAUAGAAAAUGGUACUAUCACUUAGAACAUAUUCUUCCCUUUCUGACUCAUCAGCCAGAUAAACGUCAUCAUCUGAAAAGACAGGUUCCUUAAAUUAGUGGAGCUGAUAUUAAUAUGUUUUUUGUGUUACCAAUCCUAUAGUAAUUGGCUUCAGUAAAUACAUAAAU